GUGGGUAGGCGACGCGCUGUGCCCGCCGCGGCCGGUGGGGAGGGGACCGGGGCCGCCGGCGCGAGGGCCGUGUCCGAGGGGAGGGAACCGGGGCGGGGGACACCAGGGCCGCGGCCGGAGUCUCGGGCCGACCGAGAGCCGAAGCCCAAAGUGAGGUGUGAGGCCCGCGAUGCGGCGUGCGCGCCCACGGAGACGGGCUGCUCGGCCACCAAACUGUUGCUCUCGCUGUUCUCUGUUCAGUGGAACUGAAACUCGGGGAGGGUUGGGAGAGGACUUAGGAAGCGGUGGGCAGAUGUAUGAGCCAUAAGUAGUGAUGAUCCCCAAAAGGCUGUCAGUGCAUUGCUAAAUGGCAAAAGUUGAACAUUUUUUUCCUGCCAACAAUUUUCGAAGCAUGCCUCCCGGAACUUGGGGAUUCUUUUAUCAGGCCCAAGGGAGGGAAAGCAUCUAUUGGUAGCAGAUGGGUAUUUAUCCUGGCAGCUCCGCUUCUCAAACUUGAAAGUGGAGUUGGGUCACGUGGGCUCACGCACUUUCCCUCCUCUUCUGCGCCCCGAUCCUGCUUGGAAAAUCCUCGAAGAUCCCAGUCAUCUGUCAAAUUCUGCCAACCAAGGGCCGCUUCUUGGGGGCGAGAGAGCCGCCUCCGUUGUUUCCUCCCAGCUCCUGGAACGUAAUUCUUGCUCUUGGUGACAUCAAGCAAAUAUGUGUCCACCGCCCGUCAGGAAAUUUUAAGAGAAUAAAGCCCAUUCGCCUUGUCUCCGAUCCUCCCCAAGAUCCACUGAAAACCUUUCCAGUUGGUCCAACUUAAGCUGCCAUUGUGCGGGGUCCUGAAAAAACUGAAGUUCAGUAGAUAGACUUUGUUUAGAAGAGAAAAAGUUCAGUUUUCAAAAUCCAAAGGAAAGUUUGUAAAUUGAUACAUUUGUUACUUUAAAAAUGUUGGGCCAGGCGCAGUGGCUGGUGUUUGUAAUCCCAGCACUUCGGGAGGUCAAAGCGGGAGGAUCGCUUAAGCCCAGGAGUUAGAGACCAGCCUGGCAACAUGGCAAAACGCCCUCUCAACCAAAUAAAAAAAAAUUAGCCGGGCAGGAUGGCGCGUGCCUGUGGUCCCAGCUACGGGAGAGGCGGGGGCGGGGGGCGGGAUGGCUUGGGUCCAGGAGGUGAAGCGUUUGCAUUAGGUCUCCGGGGAUUGCAGCAGCUUGAUUCUAGGGGAUGACAAGAAAGGGAUAGAAACGUGAUCUUUAACUAGUCACAUAAGUGGUAUGAUCAUAUAUAUCUGUCCCAUAGUUAAGAGGCAUCACCCAACGUGAAACUAAAAUAUGAAAUGCCACAGUUUAUAAAUUAAUGUAAAAUAAGUUAUGAUACUUCUGUGAUAGUGUUUGUUAUGCAGCCAAUAAAAAUCACAUUUUAUAUAAAAUUUAGUUGUAUGGAAUAUGCUUAAGCAACAAAAAAGAAGUAUUUUGAAAUGUGAUAUUUUAACAGUGGGCUGUAACAGUGCAAUUAUGAAUGAUUUUUAUUUUAUUCUUUUGUAUACUUUGCAAAAUUUGUAAAUUAAGUAUAUAAAACUUUAAUAAGCAGAAAAAUUUUGAAACGCAGUAAGAAGGCUGUAAUAAUAUGAAAAUGGUAUACACUAAUAAAGCUC
rnacentral:lncRNA from 1 species